rnacentral:rRNA from 1 species
CCCUUAGAUGUUCUGGGCCGCACGCGCGCUACACUGAUGCCUUCAACGAGUCUAAAACCUGCUCUGAUAGGGGUGGGUAAUCUUUUGAAUGUGCAUCGUGAUUGGGAUAGAUGAUUGCAAUUUUUCAUCUUCAACGAGGAAUGCCUAGUAAACGCAAGUCAUCAGCUUGCAUUGAUUACGUCCCUGCCCUUUGUACACACCGCCCGUCGCUCCUACCGAUUGAAUGAUCCGAUGAAUAUCAUGGAUUGAGGAUGCAAGUAGGUUCGCCUAUCUUCAUCUUCGAGAAGUGAAGUAAAUCUUAUCAUUUAGAGGAAGGAGAAGUCGUAACA